CCGGGGCUGUGGCCAGUGGAGGAGGAGUUUGCCUCCACUCCAUCUCCUCCAGAGGCAAUGGCGCCGGCCGCAUGUUCAGAGUGGCACCUAUCGUCGACAAAAAGAAAUGAGCAUUGCUCCGAGUAGAAUACACAGGUAAAACUGUACCUGGUGUCGUUUUCUCCAGCGCGUACCAACGGUAGAAGGCCCUCUUCUUCUGCUCACUCAGAUCGGAGCCAUGCUGCAGCAGCCAAUGGGAGAUUCUGCUCUGGCUGAUGCCUGGAAGGAAGCCAGACAUCAAAUUAGUGAGUGUUUUACAUCAAGCCCUGGCACAGUUAGCAGACAAAUCCCUUGAAUAAUAAUUGUGCCAACAAAAGGGCAGACAAGAGAAGAAUGCAAUGAUAUUUGUAAUGUAGCUCCUUGCAUCACUAAUGUACUGUUGGGUUAUUCAAAAUAAUACAUCUGCACUCGAAAGUACUCCAAGGCGCGAGUGUUGGUUGGUCUCGUCAUCCCCCCUACUCAAAUGCACCGAUAUAGACGUUUUCUUCAACUGACAACUUCGCCAGCCAUUUUGUGAAAGUUCAAAGUAAAAAUGUUCAUACAGGACAUCAAGACGUAACAUUGGCAGAAAAUGCUCUGAAUGAAAUGUAAAAAUGUGGUUGGUACUUACCAGUGACUUGUGCCACCACAGCCUGCGAGAUCCGGCGGUUCCCCAGAAAGGCUUUAAUCUCCUCUUUUACCAUGCUGCUAUCCCUCCUACAAAAAAACAACGACCCACCAUUACUAGCUACAAAAAUACUGACUGCCAAGAAGCAGAGGGACAAGCAAAGCACCCACCACAGUCUAAGCAAUCAGCUCUCUGAAUACCUGAUCACGACCCGUCAUGAUGAUGUAGGUGGUGGGUUGCACAAUCUUUGAGAAAACAACAGAGGGCAGCAACAUCAAGUAGUAAGGUGAGUAACGUUUCCAUUGACGAGCCAGUAAAGUAAUAGCAUUUGUAAAAUACUACCUUUAUUUUAUAAAAUGCAAAUGUGCAUAUACGUGGGGGAAUAAAACUUUGACUUCUGACUUAUUCCCUCAGAAUUCUGACA